rfam:Schistosoma mansoni strain Puerto Rico chromosome 6, complete genome
AUCCAGUUGACGAGUCCAAAACAGGGCAAAACGCGCAUCCUGGAU